rnacentral:tRNA from 1 species
AGAGGAUGUGGCUCAGUGGUAGAGCACCUGCUUGCCAUGCGGAAGGUCUCAGGUUCUAAUCCCCAGUGUCCCUG